rnacentral:rRNA from 1 species
CCUACGGGCGGCAGCAGUCGAGAAUCAUUCACAAUGGGGGAAACCCUGAUGGGGCGACGCCGCGUGGGGGAAUGAAGGUCUGCGGAUUGUAAACCCCUGUCAUGUGGGAGCAAAUUAAAAAGAUAGUACCACAAGAGGAAGAGACGGCUAACUCUGUGCCAGCAGCCGCGGGAAUACAGAGGUCUCAAGCGUUGUUCGGAAUCACUGGGCGUAAAGCGUGCGUAGGCUGUUCCGUAAGUCGGGUGUGAAAGGCGCGGGCUCAACCCGCGGACGGCACAUGAUACUGCGAGACUAGAGUAAUGGAGGGGGAACCGGAAUUCUCGGUGUAGCAGUGAAAUGCGUAGAUAUCGAGAGGAACACUCGUGGCGAAGGCGGGUUCCUGGACAUUAACUUACGCUGAGGCACGAAGGCCAGGGGAGCGAAAGGGAUUAGAUACCCGGGUAGUC